rnacentral:tRNA from 1 species
UGAAAAGUGGUGUAGACGAAGCAUUACAGAGUUUUGAUCUCUGAGACUAGGGUUCAAAUCCCUACUUUUCA